rnacentral:rRNA from 1 species
UACGGAGGGUGCGAGCGUUGUCCGGAAUUAUUGGGCGUAAAGAGCUCGUAGGCGGUUUGUCGCGUCUGCUGUGAAAACUCGGGGCUUAACCCUGGGCCUGCAGUGGGUACGGGCAGACUAGAGUGCGGUAGGGGAGACUGGAAUUCCUGGUGUAGCGGUGAAAUGCGCAGAUAUCAGGAGGAACACCGGUGGCGAAGGCGGGUCUCUGGGCCGUAACUGACGCUGAGGAGCGAAAGCGUGGGGAGCGAACAGG